CUCUCCCCGUGCGCAGCUCCCCCUCCCUUUGUUUUUUUUUUCAGAACAGCCGGUGGCUUUGCAAGCCACCACCGUCGCCACGCCGGACCACCGGCCACGAGACCGGACCCAUUCAAACCGCCACCUCCUCCUCUCCCUUCCCCGGCCAGCACAGCCAGGAGCCCAGCCACCAGCCACCGGAAAACGCAGAAAAUUGGCUGGUUUUUGACAGAUUUUCCAAGGCUUCGUUCUCCCUCAUUUCUUCACCAAAUCGGACGAAUGAGGACGUGUAUCCUAGACCUUGUGGAACCCAUAGGGACGUUUGGAUCAUAAAACGGUGGUCGUGGGCCCCGCGGGCCCGGUUGACCAAGUUUGGGCAGUUUGACCUUCGGUUGGCCGUGAGUCUCCCGAGGUAGUUCCACUCUUCGAGGAGUACUAGAACGACCCUUUUGGAUGAGUCUUGACUGUCAUUAGAUUUAUGUUGAUUUUGUGGAUUUAUGAGAUUGUUUUUAUGGUUUUGUGAUAUAAAUCUCAUGUUGUUGAAAUUAAUGAUUUAUUUAAAUUCUUUUUAUAUUUAAUAGUUGAAUGUUUAAUUUCUGUAAAGUAUUUGUGAUACAUUUGUGGAUUUGAUAUAUUCGAGUGUCUUGAGUUUAUAUAUAUAAUAUUUGAGAAAGCACUAUCUUAAGUACUUCCUCGGUUAUGGGUUCUAUGCUUGAGAGUUUAUUUGUCUACUUUGAAUAGUUAUUGUGGGAAAAAUUGAAUUAAGAAAUGGAAUAUUACUUUAUAAUAUUUUUAUAAGGAUUACGAACUCCACCAUCAUACGUACCUCCCCCCUUGGAUGAUGAUAUUUGGAAACAAUGGGUAUGGACACUGGGAUACAUGGAAAUGGAUAUAUGGAUAUGUUUUGGAUAUACUAUUCACACGUGCCGGGUUUCGGGCGUGUGGGCUUUCUUGGUCAUGGAUCCUGGAAUUGUGGGAUGCCGGAAAAAUUGUGGAUAUGGUCUAGAUAUGACGGAACCCGGGGCA